rnacentral:rRNA from 1 species
AUUGAACGCUGGCGGCAUGCCUUACACAUGCAAGUCGAACGGCAGCACGGGAGCAAUCCUGGUGGCGAGUGGCGAACGGGUGAGUAAUAUAUCGGAACGUGCCCGGUCGUGGGGAUAACGUAGCGAAAGCUACGCUAAUACCGCAUACGAUCUACGGAUGAAAGCGGGGGAUCGCAAGACCUCGCGCGAUUGGAGCGGCCGAUAUCAGAUUAGGUAGUUGGUGAGGUAAAGGCUCACCAAGCCGACGAUCUGUAGCUGGUCUGAGAGGACGACCAGCCACACUGGGACUGAGACACGGCCCAGACUCCUACGGGAGGCAGCAGUGGGAAUUUUGGACAAUGGGCGCAAGCCUGAUCCAGCAAUGCCGCGUGCAGGAUGAAGGCCUUCGGGUUGUAAACUGCUUUGUACGGUAACGAAACGGUGAGCUCUAAUACAGUUUGCUAAUGACGGUACCGUAAGAAUAAGCACCGGCUAACUAACGU